UACAAUUCCAAACUUACCACUAUCUACAAUUCCAACGCCUUAAGUUUACUACAAAAAUUUUGAAUUUUACUUGAUCUCACAUCUACUCCAAAUACCAAAUCAAUUUCAUUUUACUUUUUUAUGUAUACGAAAAGUUGAAGUCUAAGAAAUAAGGUCAGUGAAUAGCAGAUGUUUGAUAUGUAUCACUUAGUAAAAGAAAAUGAAAGUCAAUCAGAUUUACACAAGCUAAAGCCGUGCAUUUUUUGACAUCGACCCUAAUUGGUUGGAAUUUCUGGUGAGUUUCGAUGGUGGUUGUGGGUGUCGUUGUUAAUGGAGAAUCUCGAUGUCCGGACAAUGAAAUUGAUUGAAGUUGUUGGUGGAUUUUUGACGGUUGUUGUUAAUGGAGGAUCUUAAUGAGGGAGCGGUGGAAUUGAUUGAAAUUGCUGGUGCAUUUUGGUGGUCGUCGUGAGUGGUGGUUGUUAAUGGAGGGAGUAUUUUUAUGAUGUUAAUGGCGAAUGAAAGGUGCAGAUGAAGGAAGUGAAAAUGAAAUGAUGAAGAUAAUUAUGAGACUAGCUUAAAAGUACAAAAUUAUGUAUCAUACUGAUUGUUACACAUACAAAAAAAAAAUGAUGUAUCUUGUUUAAAAUAUGACAAAUAUAUGUAUCAAUUUUUUAUUUUUU
rnacentral:lncRNA from 1 species